CUGGAUCUGAAGGUUGUAGAAACUCGCAGAAAGAAGCCAUCAAAGUGACUUGGAAAGAGAAAGGUCUGGAAGAAAGCGCACGAGACAUUUAACAGUGUUUUUGUGUGAAGAGGAGACGGCUAGGAGAGGGGAUUCAGCAGGAGACCGGAAAUCCCCCUAGUUCUUGAGGCUUCCUGAGCAUGUGACCAGUGCAACUCUUACCAGGAGGGCCUGUCACUAAACACACUUAGCAAAUCGAUGAAGAUCUUGUAGCAACACUUCGCCCUCUGAGAUCCAGUUGCAUCCAUCUGUCCCUUUUGUUAUCAUUUCAUCCAGAAACCAACUGUCUGAAGACUCUUGCAUUUUCAAAAAUGGAUAAAAUGGUUAUCCACUAAAAACAAAAUCCAUGACUGAUGGUAAGUUUCUUUCCCUGGUGUAUACAAACCUCAACUGGAGAUUCCUGGCUGGAUGGACAUGGGGGCUGAGGCUGCUGUAGCCCUCUUUUAUUGCUAGUCUGCCUCCCCACCGUGGCUCAGAGUUGUACACCUGUUCCAAGUAGCUGAGGAUUCAUGGGAUGUUUGCAGCAGCUGAACACUCCUCACAAAUGCUCUGGAAGGAAUGCACAUGUCUCAAGAAGUUAUUGAAUCUUUUUUUUUUUUCAUUUUCUAAGGAAUUCUUCUAAAAAGCUCUGGUCCUCUGGCAAGGAAUACAGGUGAAAUUUUACUCCUACAAGAUCAUUGUCAAUUUAAGGCCAGGUUCAAUCUGGCUGGAGUCAGGAAUGACAACAUAAAUGCAUUGCAGCUGUUUUAUUUUUUAGGCUAAUAUUAAGAGGGAAAGAAUCGCACACCAUUCCCAGGUGGAGGGUAUAAGUGGAGAUUUUAAGAAAGAAUUUAUAAUUUUUCUGAUUAUAAUAACAAAGGAGUAUGAUAGAAAAUCUGAAAAAUGAUAAUAAUAAUACUGCAAAAUAUCACAACCCAGAGAUAAAUGUUAGAGUUUUGCCUUUCUUUCCAUUUAAAAAUGUGUCUCCUUUUGGCUUUAUAUAUAAACAAUUGUGUUCAUGUUCUACCUAAGCUAAGUUUUUGCAUACGAUAGCCUGCACAUUUUUUCAUUCUUUAAAAAUUUCCAAAACUUAUUGUAAAAUUUGGUUUUAAAUUUCU
rnacentral:lncRNA from 1 species